AUGGGGAGGAUACCGUCUCUGAAGAACUUCAAUGCGUUCCCGCACGCCGAAGAUCACCUGCUGAAGAAGACUUACUCGGGUGCUAUAGUGACGAUUCUUGGGCUGAUUGUUAUGGUUACACUUUUCGCGCAUGAGCUCACGUUUUACCUUACAACCUAUACGAUGCAUCAGAUGUCUGUAGAUCUGAAACGAGGAGAAACUCUACCAAUUCAUAUAAAUGUAUCAUUUCCAUCUUUACCAUGUGAAGUCUUGAGUGUGGAUGCAAUCGACAUGUCCGGCAAACAUGAGGUUGACUUGCAUACAAAUAUCUGGAAGCUUCGUUUGGAUAAGUAUGGCCACAUCAUUGGUACUGAGUACUUGUCUGAUCUAGUUGAAAAGGAGCAUGGAACUCAUGAUCAGGACCAUGGCCAUGAGCAUGAUGUAGAAAAGAAGCCCGAGCACACCUUCAACGAAGAUGCAGAUAAAAUGAUUAAGAGUGUCAAACUUGCAAUGGAAAAUGGCGAAGGAUGCCGAGUGUAUGGUGCUUUGGACGUGCAGAGGGUUGCUGGCAACUUCCAUAUAUCGGUGCAUGGUUUAAAUAUUUUUGUUGCAAAUCAGAUUUUUGAUGGGUCAAGCCAUGUCAAUGUUAGCCAUGUUAUCCAUCGACUGUCCUUUGGUCCAGAAUACCCUGGAAUUCAUAAUCCACUUGAUGAUACUUCAAGGAUACUGCAUGACACAAGUGGGACAUUCAAAUACUAUAUCAAGGUUGUUCCAACCGAGUACAGAUACCUCUCAAAGGGAGUGUUGCCAACAAAUCAGUUUUCCGUAACAGAGUAUUUUGUUCCCAUUCGCCCAACUGAUAGGUCCUGGCCAGCCGUUUACUUCCUGUAUGAUCUCUCACCAAUCACAGUCACCAUCAGAGAAGAAAGACGGAACUUCCUACAUUUCAUAACUCGCCUUUGUGCAGUUCUUGGGGGUACAUUUGCAAUGACAGGAAUGCUUGACCGGUGGAUGUACAGGAUCAUCGAGUCUAUCUCAAGCUCAAAACCUAGAAGUGGAAUGCGGUAA
rnacentral:rRNA from 1 species